AUGCCGGACAGGAAGGGCGCCACCCGGCUCGAGGAUCUGCCCAAGGAGAUGAUGCACCAAAUACUCAUCCGGUUGCCGGGCAAGGCCGUUGGCCGCUGCCGUGCGGUAAUCAAGUCGUGGUGCAGUGCCACAUCCACACCUGAAUUCAAGCUCGAACACCACCGCCGCCAGCCGUUGCUCCCUAUUGUCAAUGGGGAGGGGCGGCCCGCCAGUUAUGUUGUCUUGGGUGACGCUGGUGCUGGCACCUCCAAUCAAGAGCUCUGGCCCUUGGUCCGGGAAGACAAACAAAAUUUCAACAUUCUCAUAGGCUCCUGUGAUGGCUUCUUCAUUAUCUUCCGACGCGGGCCAUCUCAAUUCUGCAUCUGCAACCCGGUCACCCGCAAGGCUGCUCUACUACCGGAGCCUUCAGGGCAAUACAACUUCCUAAUUGGUUUCUACAUCCACCAUCCAACUGGAGAAUAUAGGGUGCUUUGGGUCUCAACGUCACAUCUCUUUUCUAAAAUCACCUUAUACAUCCUCACAGUGGGAUAUGACAAGCCGAGGCAUGCAAUAGUUAGAAUGCCAGCGGUCUCAUCACCUUCCAUGCAACAGAAGUUACUGACUGGGCUGAGCUUGUCAUCCAAGCAUUCAUCACCAGUCCACCACCGUGGCAGCCUGCACUGGUGUCUUCAUGGUGCCGGUGACGUUACGGGAGAUGCUGGAGACAUUAUUGUGUUCGACACAGAAGCUGAGUCAUUCCGGUUGAUGCACAGUCCCGCCCAGUCAUGCUCUAAUAGGAAGUUGUUCGACAUGAAAGGGACGCUUGCUUUCUGGGCUGGCUCGACUCCUAGUUUCACCUCUAUGGAUGUCUGGGUGAUGCAAGAUUAUGAGGCUGAGAUCUGGGCUUUCAAGUACCGGAUUGAACUGUCAACGGUGGAGGCAUCACGACAACUUUAUCUAAGUUCUUACAAAAAGAAAAAGAAAACACCACAUGAUUCAGCGGUGCAGUCGUUUGAUGAUAUGGCUGUGCUAAAUGAGCGUGAGGUGCUGAUCAGAUUCAAUGACAAACAUGUGUUGCGAUGUGACAUUGAUGGCAAAUUCUUAGGUUUGGUUAAUAUUGCUAAGAGUCAAUAUUGUAUGUCGCUUACUCAGCACCAUCUUCAAGAGAGCAUUCUUCCAAUUCCGUCCCAUGAGAUGCAAGGAUAA
rnacentral:rRNA from 1 species